GAACCUCCGGGGGCAGGGAGGUUCGACUCGAGCGAAGCGAGAGAACGUUGCGCCAGCAACGGCCCGCAGGGCGAGCCACGAAGUGGCGAGUAAUCCUCUAUCACCGACCA
rnacentral:sRNA from 1 species